UUGCUAUAGAAAGGUGCAUUCCAAAAUCUACUGGUAUGUUCUUAUUGGGGACUGGUAGCAGGGUCCCCUCAUAUAUGUAGUUUGGGUGCCUAAAAGUAUACAAUAUAUGCUUAACCACAGCAAUAAUUCAUCAUUUAAUUUAUUUUCUGCUACAAUGUUUAUGCCUUUAAAUAAGUUCCAAUUUUAAGAAUAAUGUCAAACUUAAAUAGCACAGCUGACUUUAUAAGACCUUUUAAUAUGGUAAAUAACACUAAUUGUGUAAUAAAACAUUUAAAAGCCAUACAGCUAAUGCUUUAAUUUACUACUACAACCUGCAAUUCUACUAAAAUGUUAUGUUUUUUUUCUUUAUUUGAAUUAAUCAAGGCAAUGCACCAAAAAUAUGCCACAACUGCUAACAUUAUUAAAAAGUUUAUAUGUUUAUUUUUUAUGUAUGUUUAUUUUAUGUAUAUUAAUGGUAACAGAGAAUUGUAAUUAUCCGCCAUGGAAUGUAGUGAUGUGCAAAUUGUUAAUAUUGCAGAAUGUAUGAAAGCAAAACAUUAAGUGAUAUUUCAGGUUAACACUGGACUAGGAAAGCACACUUAAUGUAACAUGACCUUUGUUACAUUACACUGCCAUGUCAAUGCCAUGAUAUGAAGGUACAUGCCUCAUAUGUUAAACUGACCAUCAGCCCUCGCCACCAUGAAACAAUCCAACAGUCACAAACAGUAAUUUCAUUCAAGUGGUCCUGGUGUAUUGUUCCAAGAAGAUUUAGGAUGUCUGACCCUACCUCCACUCAUAACAUCUGGAAGAACCUAAAUGUGAUGCUGAACAGUUGGUACUUAAAUUAUUCAGAACCAAACAUGAAACAAUAGAAGACAGUAUUAAAACAGAAGUUUACCAGCAAUCUUCAUCUACAGACAUUCAGAUCUUCAGUGAGGUUUUCACUCCUUUCUUCUGUUGCUUCUGCUGUAUCAUUUGCACAAAAAUUGAGGCUAGGGUUACCCUGAAGUUUUCUUUGGAUAUCAUACCAGGAACUGACUGUCAUGGAAUGGGCAUUCUCUACCGUUACCAUCUACAAUUUGGAUUUUUGGGGUUAAAAAGCACAUUUAAUGGACUCAUGUUGAAGACUGACUAUACAGUCACUAAGACACAUUUUGACAUUCAAGUUUUAUAUCUUAUAACUUUUUUAAUUUUCAGUUUCACUGUAUCAUUAGGUUGUGUGAUUCAUUUAAAAUGCAUUCCCCUUGUCUUAAUUUACCCAGUGUGUGCUACUGUAUUCUACACCAAUUUGAGGUCAUCAAUAUUAAUUAACACAAAUACCACCCAUAAGAUGUGUGUGCUUGCUUUUUUGUUGUUUUUAAAUUUCCAUCAUCAGCAAAGAUUUGUUUUCAGCCAGUGUUUUUUUUUUGGUUCACAAAUCCAUGUUUAUGUUGUUUUUUUAAGUACUUGAUUUGUGUAUAUCUUCAUAAUUUUCUUUCAGUUUUUCUUGUUUUUGAUAUAUUCUGUAAUAUAUUUUCUUUGCAUGGUUUUCUAACUUAUCAGAUGUUAUAAAAAUUAAGAUGAAGUGCAUAUAUAUAAUCCCAAUGACAAGUGUCAGCAUUGCUAGACUAAUUGAUAUGUAUGAAUACAACUUAUCUUUGCAUGUGCUAUGUUUCUGAAGAGAUAUAAUGGUGGACGAAAUUACAUUUCAUUUUAAUAACACCACCUGGUAAUGUAAAUAAAAGGCUUUUGAAAAAUUCA